CGAGAGGCUCUUCGGAGUAGUAAAGUGGCGCACGGGUGAGUAAUACAUGGGCAAUCUGCCUUUGAGAGGGGAAUAACCAGCCGAAAGGCUUGCUAAUACCCCAUACGCUUCCGGUCCCUCGGGUAAGGAAGGAAAGCUGCAUCGUGGAUGUGGCGCUCGAAGAUGGGCCCAUGGCCUAUCAGCUUGUUGGUAGGGUAACGGCCUACCAAGGCUACGACGGGUAGCUGGUCUGAGAGGACGAUCAGCCACACUGGCACUAAGAUACGGGCCAGACUCCUACGGGAGGCAGCAGUGAGGAAUAUUGCGCAAUGGGCGAAAGCCUGACGCAGCGACGCCGCGUGGGGGAAGAAGGUUCUCGGAUUGUAAACCCCUUUUAGGAGGAAAGAUGGGGUGGGAAACCACCCGGACGGUACCUCCAGAAAAAGCCACGGCUAACUUCGUGCCAGCAGCCGCGGUAAUACGAAGGUGGCGAGCGUUGUUCGGAUUUACUGGGCGUAAAGAGCACGUAGGCGGUUUGGUAAGCCCCUUGGGAAAGCUCCGGGCUUAACCCGGAAAGGUCGAGG
rnacentral:rRNA from 1 species